GGUAACACAAAAUAGAAUUUAAUACACAACGGCGUUUCAGCAGCGACACGCCUAAAAACUGCUUUGUGCGUGUUCACUUUUGCGCGCAUGCAAGUUUUAAUGAAAACCCAACAAUAAAAUCUUACAAUUAUUUUCUUCUUGGCCAUGAGCUCUAAUACAUGAACCCGUGCCUGCAGCUCAAAAUAAGAAAGAAAUUUUUACAUUGGGGAUGGAGUUUAAGCAGAAUGAAGAAAUGCAGCCUUGCAGCCUCGCCACCGCAUACAAAGGGCAGAUGACGUUGCUUGGCACUGGAAAACUUUAAAAGGGAAGAUGAAGAAGCAAGUCGAUAAGCAGGAGUAAGUGCAAAAAAGGAAUUUAUUAACACAAAUAUUAAAGAAACAGAGGCAAUAAUGGAACCCUGGAAAUGCACCAAACUAAAUUAAGCUAAAGCAAAAAGAACAAAAAACUAACGAAAGCUGCAGCCUCACAGCAAGCUGCCAACUCCUUCCUCCCACUACUCCAGCGUAUGGCCUAUGACCAGCUCAGCCUCACCUAACGGGAACCUACCACCUGCCCGGGCAAGGAUAGGUGACCAGCCCCUCCCUGCUAAGAGGACAUAAUGAUGCAAACCUGUUUUUACUAUCCCUGAUUGAGCAGCUGAUCUACCCCAACAUCCCAGGCAGAAUGACAUCACACACACAUACACACACACACACAAUAGGGUGAACAGAUCAUCAUCCUAUGAAACAUCAAUAACACAAACAAAUUAAACAUGCCUGUGUUAUUUAUGUAACCAGAGUGAUAAUUUAGCAGAUAAACUGAAACAUUGGACUGAAAUUAAUAAUAAAGCAGACAAUAAAAACACUGUUAAUGUUGGGGAGCAGGGUCUAGUGAAAGGGGAGAAAAGCACAAGCCUCUUUAACUUUAUAACACCCUUCAUAACAGAAAUCUAUGGCAAUCACUCUGCCCUCUUCAGUACUUUCAACCAUGUCUUCUCUUCUAAUGCGCUGGGAUUUGUUCUUGUAGAUAAAGCUAAAUUCAAACAUUGUUUUACAUUUAUUAAUGUUUUCAGGAAUAUUUUCUUUUUCUCUUGCUUCUCUAUUCCUGGUGAAAUACCUGAGUACUUAAUUUCUGUUUUAACCUUUGCAAAUUGAGUGCAAUGGUUGGUCAUGUAAAGCCAACAGUUCACACUUAUUUAAAUUCAAUUUAAAUACCUAUGGGAAUUUUAGAAAUGUUGUAUCGUCUGCAUGUUGGCUUAUAAUAAUAUUGUAUUACCCUAUUUUUUUUAUACCUUUAGUGCAAUUAUUCUUAAUCAAAAUAGAUAAUAAUUCAGCAAACAUUAUAAAUAAUAAAGCAGAACUGUUGCAACCUUGUCUUAUGCCCUUUCAAAUCGUAUAUCGUAUAUGAACAGUAUCCCAGCUGUUAAUACUCGGCUUGCUGCUGCUGUGCUGUUCACCGGAUCUUCUUACAAGCUGCUGAGGGUGCGUGUCACUCAAGAAUACUAUAGUCCUCUGAAUCAAGAACUCAAGCACUUAAGCUUAAUUCGUUUUUGUCUCAAUGGUUCAUGAGAGCCUUCAACCUGAAAGGCAUCAGUCUAACUAUACCACAAGCACUACAAACAACUGUUUCUAACUGUGACCUGGAACUGACCUAUAAAUCAGGUUGCGCUUAUCCAACAGACCACAGCAGCUGGUAACAUGGCGCUGGAUGGAGACAUAAGAGCUGACACACUGGGUAAGGCGAGAAUAGUAGAUCCUAGUUGGCAUCGCUGCUAAAAACAGGGCUGCGGCUGUAAAGAAUAUGUGUACAUAAAUCUUUAAGUAGCAAAUACGUGCUAGAAUAUUUUCAUUUUGCAGAGUAAUGAAGUGGGAAACAGUCAGAGAAUGGAGAAGGAGAGUUUUGAGUCUUACCUACCUAGAGGUCAAAGGUGUCUCCACCAACACUGUAAUCACUGACAGGCAUCCUGGAACACAGAACCAUGGAAAAAUUGUAUUGAAGCCCUCUCCACCAUCUGGACCACUGUGAAGCCCUCUGUACU